CGCGGCCUAUCAGCUUGUUGGUGGGGUAGUGGCUUACCAAGGCUUUGACGGGUAGCCGGCCUGAGAGGGUGACCGGCCACAUUGGGACUGAGAUACGGCCCAGACUCCUACGGGAGGCAGCAGUGGGGAAUAUUGCACAAUGGGCGGAAGCCUGAUGCAGCAACGCCGCGUGCGGGGUGACGGCCUUCGGGUUGUAAACCGCUUUCGCCUGUGACGAAGCGUGAGUGACGGUAAUGGGUAAAGAAGCACCGGCUAACUACGUGCCAGCAGCCGCGGUGAUACGUAGGGUGCGAGCGUUGUCCGGAUUUAUUGGGCGUAAAGGGCUCGUAGGUGGUUGAUCGCGUCGGAAGUGUAAUCUUGGGGCUUAACCCUGAGCGUGCUUUCGAUACGGGUUGACUUGAGGAAGGUAGGGGAGAAUGGAAUUCCUGGUGGAGCGGUGGAAUGCGCAGAUAUCAGGAGGAACACCAGUGGCGAAGGCGGUUCUCUGGGCCUUUCCUGACGCUGAGGAGCGAAAGCGUGGGGAGCGAACAGGCUUAGAUACCCUGGUAGUCCACGCUGUAAACGGUGGGUACUAGGUGUGGGGUCCAUUCCACGGGUUCCGUGCCGUAGCUAACGCUUUAAGUACCCCGCCUGGGGAGUACGG
rnacentral:rRNA from 1 species